rnacentral:rRNA from 1 species
GUCGAGAAUUUUUCACAAUGGGCGAAAGCCUGAUGGAGCGACGCCGCGUGGGGGAUGAAUGGCUUCGGCCCGUAAACCCCUGUCAUUUGCGAGCAAUGCUUUGUGCCUAAUACGCGCAAAGUUGAUAGUAGCGAAAGAGGAAGGGACGGCUAACUCUGUGCCAGCAGCCGCGGUAAUACAGAGGUCCCAAGCGUUGUUCGGAUUCACUGGGCGUAAAGGGUGCGUAGGUGGCCGGGUCAGUUCGAUGUGAAAUCCCCGAGCUCAACUCGGGAAUGGCAUUGAAUACUAUCCGGCUAGAGGAUCGGAGGGGAGACUGGAAUUCUCGGUGUAGCAGUGAAAUGCGUAGAUAUCGAGAGGAACACCAGUGGCGAAGGCGAGUCUCUGGACGAUUCCUGACGCUGAGGCACGAAAGCUAGGGGAGCAAACAGGAUUAGAAACCCCAGUAGUCC